CAGCCGCCGCGGUAACACGGAGGAUCCAAGCGUUAUCCGGAUUUAUUGGGUUUAAAGGGUGCGUAGGUGGCUUAUUAAGUCAGGGGUGAAAGACGGUAGCUUAACUAUCGCAGUGCCUUUGAUACUGAUGAGCUUGAAUGAACUAGAGGUAGGCGGAAUGUGACAAGUAGCGGUGAAAUGCAUAGAUAUGUCACAGAACACCAAUUGCGAAGGCAGCUUACUAUGGUUUUAUUGACACUGAGGCACGAAAGCGUGGGGAUCAAACAGGAUUAGAUACCCCUGUAGUCCCUGUCUCUUAUAA
rnacentral:rRNA from 1 species